rnacentral:rRNA from 1 species
CAGCCGUAAACUAUGCGCGUUAGGUGUAUCGGUGACCACGAGUUACCGAGGUGCCGAAGGGAAACCGUGAAACGUGCCGCCUGGGAAGUACGGUCGCAAGGCUGAAACUUAAAGGAAUUGGCAGGGGAGCACCACAACAGGUGGAGCCUGCGGUUUAAUUGGACUCAACGCCGGGAAGCUCACCGGAUAGGACAGCAGAAUGAUUGCCGGGCUGAAGACCCUGCAUGACUAGCUGAGAGGAGGUGCAUGGCGUCAGUGACU